rnacentral:miRNA from 1 species
AAGUUUUUAAAAGGCUGGAAUGUGACUCAGUGGUAGAGAGCUUGCCAGCAUGUGCAAACCCCUGGAUUCAAUCCCUGGUAGGACAAUAAUAACAA